rnacentral:rRNA from 1 species
CACGCCGUAAACGUUGAGAACUAAGUGUUGGGGAGACCCAGUGCUGAAGCUAACGCAUUAAGUUCUCCGCCUGAGGAGUACGCACGCAAGUGUAAAACUUAAAGGAACUGACGGGGGCCCGCACAAGCAGUGGAGCAUGUGGUUUAAUUCGAGGCUACGCGAAGAACCUUACCAGGGCUUGACAGGAAACUUAAGACCCUAGAGAUAGGGGGAUAAUAAGUGAAACAGGUGG